GGAACCCUUGUUAUCUUCUCGGUGAAACUCACUCUCUCCAUGCAAAUUAUUGGAUUUUGUGUGAGAUUAUCAUCUUCACUAUUGUGGAUUCAAAUGUAUAAGCUCGGUGUUUCUUAUAUGGACUGUUCAGUUCCCCGAGAGGCAGAUAGUGAUAUGAGAAACAGUUUUCUCAAUCCUGCAACUCCUCUUACUAGACAGCCAUCCAAUUCUGA
rnacentral:misc_RNA from 1 species